rnacentral:tRNA from 1 species
UUCCUUGUGGUCCAGUGGUUAAGACACUGUGCUUCCAUUACAGGGGGCUCCGGUUCAAUCUCUGGUCAGGGAGC